rnacentral:rRNA from 1 species
CGAAGGUGCAAGCGUUACUCGGAAUUACUGGGCGUAAAGCGUGCGUAGGUGGUUUGUUAAGUCUGAUGUGAAAGCCCUGGGCUCAACCUGGGAACUGCAUUGGAAACUGGCUGACUAGAGUGCGGUAGAGGGUGGCGGAAUUCCCGGUGUAGCAGUGAAAUGCGUAGAUAUCGGGAGGAACAUCCGUGGCGAAGGCGGCCACCUGGACCAGCACUGACACUGAGGCACGAAAGCGUGGGAGCAAACAGGAUU